AACUUUAUAUUGAACUGUAAAUUCAAAUACGGGGAAUCCCUAUAACCACGGUUUUAA
rnacentral:tRNA from 1 species